rnacentral:rRNA from 1 species
CCUACGGGAGGCUGCAGUGGGGAAUAUUGGACAAUGGGGGCAACCCUGAUCCAGCCAUGCCGCGUGUGUGAAGAAGGCCCUCGGGUUGUAAAGCACUUUCAGUGAGGAAGAACGCCUGGUGGUUAAUACCCAUCAGGAAAGACAUCACUCACAGAAGAAGCACCGGCUAACUCCGUGCCAGCAGCCGCGGUAAUACGGAGGGUGCGAGCGUUAAUCGGAAUUACUGGGCGUAAAGCGCGCGUAGGUGGCUUGAUAAGCCGGUUGUGAAAGCCCCGGGCUCAACCUGGGAACGGCAUCCGGAACUGUCAAGCUAGAGUGCAGGAGAGGAAGGUAGAAUUCCCGGUGUAGCGGUGAAAUGCCUAGAGAUCGGGAGGAAUACCAGUGGCGAAGGCGGCCUUCUGGACUGACACUGACACUGAGGUGCGAAAGCGUGGGUAGCAAACAGGAUUAGAUACCCCUGUAGUC